rnacentral:rRNA from 1 species
AUAGGUGUGGAGGCCUGGAAUGGUUCCACGCCCAAAGGCAUAACGAUCAUGUUUGUUGUGUGCCCGAGGAUGGGGCUGCGGCCGAUCAGGCAGUUGGCGAGGUAACGGCUCACCAAACCUUUGACCGGUACGGGCCAUGAAAGUGGUAGCCCGGAGAUGGGCACUGAGACAGGGGCCCAGGCCCUACGGGGCGCAGCAGGCGCGAAAACUCCACAAUGUACGGAAGUACGAUGGGGUUAUCUCGAGUGCAGUCCGAUAAGGGCUGCUUUUCCAUAGAGUAAUAUCCUGUGGGAAUAAGAGGGGGGCAAGACUGGUGUCAGCCGCCGCGGUAACACCAGCCCCUCGAGUGGUGGGGACUAUUAUUUGGCCUAAAGCGUCCGUAGCUGGCUGUAUCCGUCCCCCGUUAAAUCCAGCGUCCUAAGCGUUGGACCGCGGGUGAUACCAUACAGCUAGAGGGUGGGAUAGGUGGGCGGUAUUUCUGGGGUAGGGGCGAAAUCCUUUGAUCCCAGGAGGACCACCAGUGGCGAAGGCUGCCCACUAGAACACGCCUGACGGUCAGGGACGAAAGCUGGGGCAGCGAACCGGAUUAGAUACCCGGGUAGUCCCAGCUGUAAACGAUGCUAGCUAGGUGUUGGGUCGGCCACGCGCCGCCCCAGUGCCGCAGGGAAGCCGUUAAGCUAGCCGCCUGGGGAGUACGGCCGCAAGGCUGAAACUUAAAGGAAUUGGCGGGGGAGCACCACCAGGC